rnacentral:rRNA from 1 species
CUACGGGGGGCUGCAGUGAGGAAUUUUGCGCAAUGGGGGAAACCCUGGCGCAGCAACGCCGCGUGAGUGAAGAAGGCUUUCGGGUCGUAAAGCUCUGUCAGAUAGGAAAAAAGUUCAUAUGUAAAUAGCUUAUGAAUCUGAUGGUACUAUCAGAGGAAGCACCGGCUAACUCCGUGCCAGCAGCCGCGGUAAUACGGAGGGUGCAAGCGUUGUUCGGAAUUACUGGGCGUAAAGGGCGUGUAGGCGGUAUGGUAAGUCAGAUGUGAAAGCCCUGGGCUUAACUCAGGAAGUGCAUUUGAUACUGCCAUCCUUGAGUAUGGGAGAGGAGAGUAGAAUUCCCAGUGUAGAGGUGAAAUUCGUAGAUAUUGGGAGGAAUACCCGUGGCGAAGGCGACUCUCUGGACCAAUACUGACGCUGAGACGCGAAAGCGUGGGGAGCAAACAGGAUUAGAUACCCCCGUAGUC